AAAACCUGAGACAUCAACCUAUGAAGACUGUGAAGACAAUUCUGAAUAGCAGGAGUGACUGGUGUUGCUAUCAAACUUACUCUGCAGAGCAUCUGAAAUGAGCCUAUCUUAUUGAUUGUUUUCAUUGGCCCAGAGCCAGGAGUACUGGAUUCAGUUGACUUCGUAAAUGUAUGAACCAGUGUGAUGGUGAAAUGAGAUGAGGCUCCGAAAUGGAACUGUAGCCACCGUUUUAGCAUUUAUCACUUCAUUCCUUACUUUAUCUUGGUAUACUACAUGGCAAAAUGGGAAAGAAAAACUGAUUGCGUACCAACGAGAAUUUCUUGCUUUGAAAGAACGUCUUCGGAUAGCUGAACACAGAAUCUCACAGCGCUCUUCUGAGUUAAGUGCCAUUGUACAGCAGUUCAGGCGUGUAGGAGCAGAGACAAAUGGAAGUAAGGACACAUUGAAUACAUUUUCAGAUAAUACCUUAAAGCUAUUAAAGGAGUUAACAGGCAAAAAAUCUCUCCACGUGCCAAGUAUUUAUUAUCAUUUGCCUCAUUUAUUGCAAAAUGAAGGAAGCCUUCAACCUGCUGUGCAGAUUGGUAAUGGAAGAACAGGAGUUUCAAUAGUAAUGGGAAUUCCUACUGUGAAGAGAGAAGUUAAAUCUUACCUCGUAGAAACGCUUCACUCCCUUAUUGAUAAUCUGUAUCCUGAAGAGAAAUUGGACUGUGUAAUAGUAGUCUUCAUAGGAGAGACAGAUAUUGAUUAUGUACACGGUGUUAUAGCCAACCUGGAGAAAGAAUUUUCUAAAGAAAUCAGUUCUGGUUUGGUGGAAAUAAUAUCACCUCCUGGAAGCUAUUAUCCUGACUUGACAAACUUAAAGACGACAUUUGGAGACUCUAAAGAAAGAGUAAGAUGGAGAACAAAGCAAAACCUAGAUUAUUGUUUUCUAAUGAUGUAUGCUCAGGAAAAGGGCAUAUAUUACAUUCAGCUUGAAGAUGAUAUUAUUGCCAAACCGAAUUACUUUAACACUAUCAAAAAUUUUGCCCUUCAACUUUCUUCUGAGGAAUGGAUGAUACUAGAGUUCUCCCAGCUGGGCUUCAUUGGUAAAAUGUUUCAAGCACCAGACCUCACUCUGAUUGUGGAAUUCAUAUUUAUGUUCUAUAAGGAGAAGCCCAUUGAUUGGCUCUUGGACCACAUUCUUUGGGUGAAAGUCUGCAACCCUGAAAAAGAUGCAAAACAUUGUGAUAGACAGAAAGCAAAUCUACGAAUUCGUUUCAGACCUUCCCUCUUUCAGCACGUUGGUCUGCAUUCUUCACUAACAGGAAAACUCCAGAAACUUACGGAUAAAGACUACAUGAAACCAUUACUUCUUAAGAUCCAUGUAAACCCACCUGCGGAAGUAUCUACUUCUCUGAAGGUCUACCAAGGACACACACUGGAGAAGACAUACAUGGGGGAGGAUUUCUUCUGGGCUAUCACUCCCACAGCAGGAGACUACAUCUUGUUUAAAUUUGAUAAGCCGGUCAAUGUGGAAAGUUAUUUGUUCCAUAGUGGCAACCAAGAACAUCCAGGAGAUAUUCUGCUAAACACUUCUGUGGAAGUUUUGCCUUUUAAGAGUGAAGGUUUGGAAAUAAGCAAAGAAACCAAAGACAAACGGUUAGAAGAUGGUUAUUUCAGAAUAGCUGUUUAAUCUUGAGAAUGUUGUGAUCUAGAUUAUGAAAGUGGCAGAGGAAAUAGAUGCAUCUGUAUUAAGUGUCUCUGCCGUCAUUUGAAAAUAAAAGCAUCUCAAACAUCAACACAUCCGUAUGUAGAAGCAGAAGAGAAUUUAGGAAUCAUCAAACCGAGGGUACGUGUCACAAAGCAGCGUCCGAAACACGGAGCCGUGACUGCCUCCAGCUGAGCACGAAGGCUCUGCUCCUUGGGAGUCUGCUGUAGUGGGUGGCGUGUGAAGGCCGUCGCCCCCUUCUCCCUUGUAGAACCACCACAACUGGUGAAAAUUACUUUUAAAAAAAUACAGCAAACGGAGAAACAUUUACUCAUGAAAACCUGAAUCUCGAAAACAUAUAGCUCUGCCUCUUCAGAUGGAUUGCUUCUACGUCAUGAAAAAUUUUUAAGUUGAAUAAAAAUAGGAAGAAGGAAAAAAUGCACCCGUGCCCUGUGUGAAGACUUCCACUAGAAAUCUUGUGGUGUUUUCUUUCCUGCUUCACAUCAGUGAAAUUUGACGAGUGCCUGUUCCAGCCUACCCAACAAGUGUUGAUUUUUAUUUUGAAGGGAAAUUUGAGAACGGUGUUGCAGAAGGAAUGGUGGAUCCCAGCCUAAACCCCAUUGCAGCCUUUCGACUUUCAGUUAUUCAGAAUUCUGCUGUUUGGGCCAUUCUCAAUGAGAUUCAUAUUAAAAAAGUCACCAACUGAUCAUCUCCUA